GACGAACGCUGGCGGCGGGCUUAACACAUGCAAGUCGAACGGAAAGGCCCUGCUUUUGUGGUGUGCUCGAUUGGCGAACGCGUGAGUAACACGUGAGUAACCUGCCCUUCACUUUGGGAUAACUUCAGGUAACUGGAGCUAAUAUCGUAUAGGAUCUCCUGCUCCAUUGUGAGGGUGGGAAAGUUUCGGCGGUUGGGGAUGGACUCGCGGCUUAAGAGCUUGUUGGUGGGGUAGUGGCUUACCAAGGCUGUGACGGGUCGCCGGCCUGAGAGGGUGACCGGCCUCAUUGGGACUGAGAUACGGCCCAGACUCCUACGGGAGGCAGCAGUGGGGAAUAUUGCACAAUGGGCGGGAGCCUGAUGCAGAAACGCCGCGUGCGGGAUGACGGCCUUCGGGUUGUAAACAGCUUUCGCCUGUGACGAAGCGUGAGUGACGGUAAUGGGUAAAGAAGCACCGGCUAACUACGUG
rnacentral:rRNA from 1 species